GAUGAAGAACGCAGCGAAAUGCGAUAAGUAAUGCGAAUUGCAGAAUUCCAGUGAGUCAUCGAAUCUUUGAACGCACAUUGCGCCCGUCAGUAUUCUGGCGGGCAUGCCUGUUCGAGCGUCAUUACGCCCCUCAAGUCCCCUGUGGACUUGGUGUUGGGGAUCGGCGAGGCUGGUUUUCCAGCACAGCCGUCCCUUAAAUUAAUUGGCGGUCUCGCCGUGGCCCUCCUCUGCGCAGUAGUAAAACACUCGCAACAGGAGCCCGGCGCGGUCCACUGCCGUAAAACCCCCCAACUUUUUAUAGUUGACCUCGAAUCAGGUAGGACUACCCGCUGAACUUAAGCAUAUCAAUAAGCGGAGGA
rnacentral:misc_RNA from 1 species